GCCAGGUGUGGUGAUGCGUGCCUGUAGUCCCAGCUACUUGGGAGGCUGAGGCAGGAGAAUCGCUUGAGUCCAGGAGGUGGAGAUUGCAGUAAGCCGAGAUUGCACCAUUGCACUCCAGCCUGGGCAACAGAGCGAGACUCCGCCUCAA
rnacentral:SRP_RNA from 1 species